AUUGAACGCUUGCGGCAUGCCUUACACAUGCAAGUCGAACGGCAGCAUGUAGAGCUUGCUCUCUGACGGCGAGUGGCGAUCGGGUGAGUAAUGCAUCGGAACGUACCGGGUAAUGGGGGAUAACGUAGCGCAAGUUACGCUCAUACCGCCUACGUCCUGAGGGUGGAAGCAGGGGAUGGCAAGACCUUGGGUUAUACGAGCGGCCGAUGUCAGAUUAGCGAGUUGGUGAGGUAAAGGCUCACCAAGGCGACGAUCUGUAGCGGGUCUGAGAGGAUGAUCCGCCACACUGGGACUGAGACACGGCCCAGACUCCUACGGGAGGCAGCAGUGGGGAAUUUUGGACAAUGGGGGCAACCAUGAUCCAGCCAUGCCGCGUGAGUGAAGAAGGCCUUCGGGUUGUAAAGCUCUUUCGGCCGGGAAGAAAUCGCACAGGCUAAUACUCUGUGUGGAUGACGGUACCGGCAUAAGAAGCACCGGCUAACUACGUGCCAGCCGCCGCGGUAA
rnacentral:rRNA from 1 species